UGGAGCCUACGGGGCGCAGCAGUGAGGAAUAUUGGUCAAUGGGCGAGAGCCUGAACCAGCCAAGUCGCGUGAGGGAGGAAGGUACAGAGUAUCGUAAACCUCUUUUGUCAGGGAACAAAGGCGGGGACGUGUCCCCGGAUGAGUGUACCUGAAGAAAAAGCAUCGGCUAACUCCGUGCCAGCAGCCGCGGUAAUACGGAGGAUGCGAGCGUUAUCCGGAUUUAUUGGGUUUAAAGGGUGCGCAGGCGGUCUGUUAAGUCAGCGGUCAAAGCCCGGGGCUCAACCCCGGCCCGCCGUUGAAACUGG
rnacentral:rRNA from 1 species